UACGAAGGGGGCUAGCGUUGUUCGGAAUUACUGGGCGUAAAGCGCGCGCAGGCGGGUCAUCAAGUCAGGGGUGAAAGCCCAGAGCUCAACUCUGGAACUGCCCUUGAAACUGGUGACCUUGAGUACGGGAGAGGUGAGUGGAAUUCCCAGUGUAGAGGUGAAAGUCGUAGAUAUUGGGAAGAACACCGGUGGCGAAGGCGGCUCACUGGCCCGUAACUGACGCUGAGGGGCGAAAGCAUGGGGAGCGAACAGG
rnacentral:rRNA from 1 species